AAGUCGUAACAAGGUCUCCGUUGGUGAACCAGCGGAGGGAUCAUUAUAGAGUUUUCUAAACUCCCAACCCAUGUGAACUUACCCAUUGUUGCCUCGGCAGAAGCUACCUGGUUACCCUACCUUGGAACGGCCUACCCUGUAGCGCCUUACCCUGGAACGGCCUACCCUGUAACGGCUGCCGGUGGACUACCAAACUCUUGUUAUUUUAUUGUAAUCUGAGCGCCUUAUUUUUAAUAAGUCAAAA
rnacentral:misc_RNA from 1 species